CCUACGGGGUGCAGCAGUGAGGAAUAUUGGUCAAUGGACGGACGUCUGAACCAGCCAUGCCGCGUUCAGGCCGACGGCUCUAUUAGUUGUAAACUGCUUUUGUACAAGGGUAAACCUGAAUACGUGUAUUCAGCUGAAAUUACUGUACGAAUAAGGAUCGGCUAACUCCAUGCCAUCAGCCGCUGUAAUACGGAGGAUCCAAGCGUUAUCCGGAUUUAUUGGGUUUAAAGGGUUGUUAGGCGGAUUGAUAAGUUAGAGGUGAAAUGUCCGAGCUUAACUCGGGAACUGCCUCUAAUACUGUUGAUCUGGAGAGUAGAUGCGGUAGGCGGAAUGUAUGGUGUAGCGGUGAAAUGCUUAGAGAUCAUACAGAACACCGAUUGCGAAGGCAGCUUACCAAUGUAUAUCUGACGUUGAGGCACGAAAGCGUGGGGAGCAAACAGGAUUAGAUACCCUUGUAGUC
rnacentral:rRNA from 1 species